AACGAACGCUGGCGGCAUGCCUAACACAUGCAAGUCGAACGAUACCUUCGGGUCUAGUGGCGCACGGGUGCGUAACGCGUGGGAACCUGCCCUUAGGUUCGGAAUAACUCCCCGAAAGGGGUGCUAAUACCGGAUAAUGUCUUCGGACCAAAGAUUUAUCGCCUUUGGAUGGGCCCGCGUUGGAUUAGCUAGUUGGUAGGGUAAAAGCCUACCAAGGCGACGAUCCAUAGCUGGUCUGAGAGGAUGAUCAGCCACACUGGGACUGAGACACGGCCCAGACUCCUACGGGAGGCAGCAGUGGGGAAUAUUGGACAAUGGGCGAAAGCCUGAUCCAGCAAUGCCGCGUGAGUGAUGAAGACCUUAGGGUUGUAAAGCUCUUUUACCCGGGAUGAUAAUGACAGUACCGGGAGAAUAAGCUCCGGCUAACUCCGUG
rnacentral:rRNA from 1 species